UGUCAACACAGCCGCAAACUCAUUUCUGUGGGAGCCAAAGAGGCAAUGAAGAGAGAAAACAGGAAGUAAGGAAAAAGGAUAAAUUUUUCCCAAAAGGCCUGGAAGUAGAGCUUGAGAGUGAUCGCCUUUCAAGGACGACUGGAAUGGUUGUUGGUGGAAGAUGGUACAGAGUCUAAGAGAAUUGACGUAUUAUCUUGGAUCCCAGUGGCAAGGGAACACUUCUGUCCUACAAUAAUCUCUCCCAUCCCCAACAGGAAAAAGAUGGGGAUGAAACCUUGUUACAGCAAUCUCAAACACAGGUGUACUUAUCAUCGGCUUUUCCAGCGACUCCUCUUCCUUCUCACUGGCAGCCAGCACACCUGGCAUCCCGCACCUGCCACUGACUUCCUUUUAACAACUGAUCUGGACAUGAUGAUUUUAUGACCUUGCAAACUAAAACGCGAUCUCUUUACUUUAAUAAAGAAGAAAGAAAAAACCAGCUGCUUCUAUAGGCAUUCUGUAUCCUCACUUUAUUUUCCCUCGAUGUUUAUACUUCUCUAGACCAGCAUAUCUUUUUGGAAACUCUGACACAUGCUUGAGAAAAAUUUGCCUAUGAAAUUUUGUUUCUGACAAGAAUCAACCCAAAGUUUGUGCUUUGGCCAUAAAAUUCAUGCAGAAAGUUAUUUAUUUUUAAGCUACAUGUAUGUGAUUGAAUGGCUUAUAAUCAGCAUUUCUAUUAUGGCUCAAAUGACUUUUGAGGGUUAUUAUUAUUAUUAUUUAGAUGUUAUAUGGAUCUACACACAGUCAUGACAUCUUAGAAUAAAUCUUUCCUGUUCCUGAGAGUGAAGACACUUCCUGGAGGUAUAACUCAUUACUCUCACCCCUAGAUUCCAUGGCCCUGAUAACUGCAGGCAUCCUAAGUUAACAUCACAAUUCUUGUCAUUUCUCGAUCAGUCUCCUUAUGGCUCCUUUUGCUCAUCCUUUUUCUCCAAUGGCUUAUAUAUUCACUAUAACAACAUUAUAGAUAAGAUGUGACAAUUUCUAGAGGGUAGGCGUGCCUACCAUAUUAUUCAUGAAUAUCCUUCAUGAAUAAAGAAUUCUAUAUUCUUCUGAGCUACAAGAUAUGUAGGAACAAGAAAGAUCUGGGGCCACAGACAGGUGGUUCAUCCACUGGACAUGUGACAAUCAGUUAAGAAAUUAAAACAGCAGAGUUGGCCAGAAGCGGUGGCUCACACCUGUAAUCCCAGCACUUUGGGAGGCUGAGGUCAGGAGUUCAAGACCAGCCUGGCCAAAAUGGUGAAACACUGUCUCUACUAAAAAUACAAAAAUUAGCCGGGUGUAGUGGCGAGCACCUGUAAUCCCAGCUACUCAGGAGACUGAAGCAGGAAAAUUGCUUGAAACCUGGAGGCGGAGGUUGCAGUGAGCCGAGAUUUUACCACUGUACUCUAGUCUGGGUGACAGAGUAAGACUCCUUCUC